rnacentral:rRNA from 1 species
UACGUAGGCAGCGAGCGUUGUUCGGAGUUACUGGGCGUAAAGCGUGCGUAGGCGGUGGUCCAAGUCUGGUGUGAAAUCUCCCGGCUUAACUGGGAGGGUGCGCCGGAAACUGGGCCGCUGGAGUACGGGAGAGGCAAGCGGAAUUCCAGGUGUAGCGGUGAAAUGCGUAGAUAUCUGGAGGAACACCGGUGGCGAAGGCGGCAUCCUGGACCGGCAUUGACGCUGAGGCGCGAAAGCCAGGGGAGCAAACGGG